rnacentral:rRNA from 1 species
UACGGAGGGUGCAAGCGUUGUCCGGAUUUAUUGGGUUUAAAGGGUGCGUAGGAGGGCAGGUAAGUCAGUGGUGAAAUCUCCGAGCUUAACUCGGAAACUGCCGUUGAUACUAUCUGUCUUGAAUACCGUGGAGGUGAGCGGAAUAUGUCAUGUAGCGGUGAAAUGCUUAGAUAUGACAUAGAACACCAAUUGCGAAGGCAGCUCACUACACGAGCAUUGACUCUGAGGCACGAAAGCGUGGGGAUCAAACAGG